rnacentral:lncRNA from 1 species
UUAUCGUUUAAGCAUAUAACAUUUAUAUGAGACGGCUCAAACAAUAAUCUAUGCCCUUUAUAUGUUAAACUGGAUUAGUUUAACAUGUGAAAUGUCCGUAAAGUAUCAUCAUGAUUGGCUUUAGGGCACAUUUCCAACAGUAGGAUGGUUAGUUGGUUUCGUAGCCUUCUUAGGUCUGGGUGUUCUACACGUAGUGCCCUAAAGCCCUAGUGGUUUGAAAGUCAUUAACCUAAAGCCCUAGAUCGAAAGCUUAAGGGAACGGACAUUACACGACCACUACUGUUACUAAAAAAAAAAUUAAUAUAUAUUAUGAGAAGAGAGAGAGAGAGAGAGAGAGAGAGAGAGAGUGAAAUUUGAAAAAAAUGAAAAAAAAAUGAUUAUAUAAGUGUGUGAAGAAUUAAAUAAAAGGGAUGAGAGGUAAGGGUUUUGGUUAAGCCUUCUUAACUAUGAUGGAUCACUUUACACCGAAGGAAGUUUAUGAAUUCUUUUCUAAGUGGUUGUAAAUGGCUUAGAUUCUGUGGUUGGAUUGGUUGGAACUUUUGGAAAGAUGUUCUGAUUUUUAACAUUUUCUAUGGAUUGCAACUUGAAAGUGAAAAUUUUGUUUUAGCUAGGUUCUAUUUAAGUUUUUAGUUUAAUAGCUUUUAUUUUUGUUUUCUAGAUUUGUUUUGUUUGAGGACUAGCAAACAGCUAAGUUUGAGUGGUAUUUUGAUUAGUAGAUUUUAUGUUAUAUAUUUAACCCUAUUCUUAGUAUAUUUUGGUUAAUAUUUUGGAAGAAUUUUGAUACUUUGUGUU